rnacentral:rRNA from 1 species
ACAACAGGGGGGAGGGGCGAGGCCGCGAAACACAACAACGAACCCCGGCGCAUACCGCGCCAAGGAAAACGAACGGAAACGGAUCCCGGCGCGCCCCGUCCGCGGGCGCGCGCCGGGUCCUGCUUCGGAAAGUCGAAACUUAACGACUCUCGGCAACGGAUAUCUCGGCUCUCGCAUCGAUGAAGAACGUAGCGAAAUGCGAUACUUGGUGUGAAUUGCAGAAUCCCGUGAACCAUCGAGUCUUUGAACGCAAGUUGCGCCCGAAGCCAUUAGGCCGAGGGCACGUCUGCCUGGGCGUCACGCAACGCGUCGCCCCCGCGCCACGGCGCGGGGGCGGAGGAUGGCCCCCCGCGCGGCUCUUGAGCGGCGCGGCCGGCCGAAAUACGGAAUCGCCCCGACGACGGGUCGUCGCGACAGGUGGUGGCGUCUACCGAUACUAUCUCUCACUGUCGCGCUGGAACCCGUCCCGGGAAGCGCCUCCCGCGACCCCACGGCUCCACCCCCCCCUUAAAAGGAGGAGAGCAUCGACCGCGACCCCAGGUCAGGCGGGACUACCCGCUGAGUUUAAGCAUA